UGGAAGAUUCGGGAGAGCUGGGCAGGAUUAGAUUUCUGAAGGACAGUAGACUGGUUUGGGGACUUUUGCAGAAGCUGCAGAGUGCGUCACAAGGGAAGAUGCCACAGAACGCUGUUGGAAGGAGAGUCCCUGUUGCAAGAAUUCUUCGUGCAGAUGAAUGCCUCCAAGGAGAAAGGGCCAAUAAUUCUGGAGAGCCAGUCCAUUCGAAGGAAGUUCAGAAUGUGGGUGGCUGGGGUCCUAUCAGACACUCAAAACUGAUGUUCUGCAUGAUGUUGUGUCCCCAUACUUGGAGAUCGCCAUAUUGCUGCGUUUUGGUAUGUCCAGAUCAGGUGACCGAUCCAAGACGUCAACUGCUUUGAGCUGGUAACUUGAUCAAGACCUCACUUUCACAAGACCACAUAGCAUCCCACAUUAAAAGAAUUCAUUUUCUGGCUCCUACCAUAUGGUGGAUGAAAGUCAUCCUUGAACUGAAGAGAUUGCUGAAGAAAAAGACGGUGGAGAAGAUAAGAAAGUCUUGCUGCUUUUUCUUUAAUGUUUAUUUUCAUAACCAUUUCAGAUCUCAGAUAAGUUUGUUUUCACCUAAUGUAGGGCACAAUGAAAUGCCUUUUUAUCAAGCAGAUCACAAAGUAAACAGUGUACACCAUGUAGAUAGAGUGAUGCAUGCAGUCUUUUUCCAGGGUGUGGAAUCAAGAACUAGAGAACAUACAGCAUGUUUAAAGUGGGAGGGGAGAGAUUUAAUAGGGAACUGAGGGGCAACUUUUUCACCCAGCAUGUUGCCUGUAUAUAGAAUAGAAUUCUGGAGGAAAUGGUUGAGGCAGGUACAUUAACAACAUUUGAUUGCCACUUGGACAGAUAGGAAAGGGGUAGAGGAUUAUGGGCCAAACAUAAGCACACAGGAUCAGCUUAGAUGUUAGCAUAUCUGGGCUGUGGACCGGUCUCUGCGCUGUAUGACUCCGUGACUCUAUAAUGAUAAAAUACAACAGCGAGUGAAGAACAGCAGAAUGGUCCAAAGAUUGUAGUACAAUGAAGUCAUGCAAAAAGGAAUGCAGGGUGAUAUUUAUGGAAUAACAGAGCAAAGUAGAUAAGGACUCAAGUACGUUGAA